rnacentral:sRNA from 1 species
UUGCAAGCACUGGAAACUGGAGGUUUCAGUCUGCAGAGUAGUUACAGCAUGGCCAUCGACACUGCAGGUUUCUCCAGACUUGCCCCACCAAUGUGCCUCAAGCCAGAUUUGGAGCAAUGACCUUUGUGGAAGGGGGUUUCGUUCUUUUUUCCCACUUACUCCUUUCCAUCU